rnacentral:rRNA from 1 species
CGUAGGGUCCAAGCGUUAUCCGGAAUCACUGGGCGUAAAGCGUGCGUAGGCGGGAGUUUAAGUGAGAUGUUAAAUCGUGUGGCUCAACCAUAUCGAUGCAUCUCAUACUGGGCACCUAGAGGAAGGCAGAGGCAAGUGGAAUUUGUAGUGUAGCAGUGAAAUGCGUAGAUAUUACAAGGAACACCAAUGGCGAAGGCAGCUUGCUGGGCCUUUUCUGACGCUGAGGUACGAAAGCGUGGGGAGCGAACAGGAUUAGAUACCCUGGUAGUCCACGCCGUAAACGAUGCAUACUAGUCUUAUGGGGUAUCGACCCCUGUGAGACGAAGCUAACGCGAUAAGUAUGCCGCCUGGGAAGUACGGCCGCAAGGCUA